UCAAGUCGAACGAUGAUCCCAGCUUGCUGGGGGAUUAGUGGCGAACGGGUGAGUAACACGUGAGUAACCUGCCCUUGACUCUGGGAUAAGCCUGGGAAACUGGGUCUAAUACCGGAUAUGACCAUCUGACGCAUGUCAGGUGGUGGAAAGCUUUUGUGGUUUUGGAUGGACUCGCGGCCUAUCAGCUUGUUGGUGGGGUAAUGGCCUACCAAGGCGACGACGGGUAGCCGGCCUGAGAGGGUGACCGGCCACACUGGGACUGAGACACGGCCCAGACUCCUACGGGAGGCAGCAGUGGGGAAUAUUGCACAAUGGGCGCAAGCCUGAUGCAGCGACGCCGCGUGAGGGAUGACGGCCUUCGGGUUGUAAACCUCUUUCAGUAGGGAAGAAGCGAAAGUGACGGUACCUGCAGAAGAAGCGCCGGCUAACUACGUGCCAGCAGCCGCGGUAAUACGUAGGGCGCAAGCGUUAUCCGGAAUUAUUGGGCGUAAAGAGCUCGUAGGCGGUUUGUCGCGUCUGCUGUGAAAGACCGGGGCUCAACUCCGGUUCUGCAGUGGGUACGGGCAGACUAGAGUGAUGUAGGGGAGACUGGAAUUCCUGGUGUAGCGGUGAAAUGCGCAGAUAUCAGGAGGAACACCGAUGGCGAAGGCAGGUCUCUGGGCAUUAACUGACGCUGAGGAGCGAAAGCAUGGGGAGCGAACAGGAUUAGAUACCCUGGUAGUCCAUGCCGUAAACGUUGGGCACUAGGUGUGGGGGACAUUCCACGUUUUCCGCGCCGUA
rnacentral:rRNA from 1 species